UACGUAGGUGGCAAGCGCUAUCCGGAUUUACUGGGUGUAAAGGGCGUGUAGGCGGGGACGCAAGUCAGAUGUGAAAACCACGGGCUCAACCUGUGGCCUGCAUUUGAAACUGUGUUUCUUGAGUACUGGAGAGGCAGACGGAAUUCCUAGUGUAGCGGUGAAAUGCGUAGAUAUUAGGAGGAACACCAGUGGCGAAGGCGGUCUGCUGGACAGCAACUGACGCUGAGGCGCGAAAGCGUGGGGAGCAAACAGG
rnacentral:rRNA from 1 species